AAGACAAAAGACUAACAGCCAAGUGAAUCAGAUUAUUUCAACAGAACGUCUGAUUCAGAAAGCUGUACAAAUAUACACACAGUUUCAACAGUCACACCAAUCUCCUUAUCACCAGCAACACAUUGCGCAGUCACUAGGCCCAAACACACACACAGGAUCCUCACAUGCUCAACAAUAUCACGACGUCGCACACACAAAAUUAAAUCAAAAAAACCACCAAAGACUAUACACUUAUCAAUGUAACUAUUAUUCAAACCAUACAACUAUCCACGCUAUUAAUCCAUAUAAACUAACCGAUCACAUAACAUUUCAACAAAUUCAUCUCUACAAUUAUCUGUACUAUAAAUCAACUUUUGACUAACCAACUAUAUCACAUUCU